rnacentral:rRNA from 1 species
AGGACGAACGCUGGCGGCGUGCCUAACACAUGCAAGUGGAGCGACGAACCAGGCUUCGGCCUGGGGCAAAGCCGCGAACGGGUGAGUAACACGUGGGUAACCUGCCCCGAUGAUUGGGACAACCCGAGGAAACUCGGGCUAAUACCGAAUGUGCCCUACGGCCAUAAGGCCGCUGGGGAAAGGAAGCUUCGGCCUCCGCAUCGGGAUGGGCCCGCGGCCCAUUAGCUUGUUGGUGAGGUAACGGCUCACCAAGGCGACGAUGGGUAGCUGGUCUGAGAGGACGAUCAGCCACACUGGGACUGAGACACGGCCCAGACUCCUACGGGAGGCAGCAGUGGGGGAAUCUUGCGCAAUGCGCGAAAGCGUGACGCAGCGACGCCGCGUGGGGAUGAAGGCCUUCGGGUUGUAAACCCUUUCAGCAGGGACGAAGCGAAAGUGACGGUACCUGCAGAAGAAGCGCCGGCUAACUACGUGCCAGCAGCCGC